ensembl:lincRNA
GACCGGAGCGCGCUCAAAGGCUGCCGGCCCAAAGGAGAGUCCAAUUCUUCAAACUUCAAAUGACAGUCCGAAGAUCCACUAGUUAACUUAAUCUGGACUAGAGGAGUUCUGACAACUGACAAAAGACGGCGGCAUUCCUCCGGAACUUGUGAAGCUCUAGUUCCUGUCUAGGAAAAUGACUCAUUUCCCUUUCCUCCAGCAAAAGUGACUUAUGGCUCUCCAAUUAACAUAUCAGCACAAGGUGCAAGCCGGGCAGCCUCCAGACUCCCUCAGUCCCUACAAGCACUUAUACAUUUCAAAGCCUGCUCACCAGUCCCCUGGCCCUUCCCACCCGCCGAUUACUCAUUCUUCUUGUUCACUCUUCUCCGCUCCUGCUGCUGCUUUUCUCAAUAAGCUUCCCCUAUUUUCUAUCAGUGGCCAUUUUCCCGUUUCUUGUAGACAGUCCUGGCAAAGCCCAGUCUGCUACACAUGGUCAAUCUACUACUUUCUCUCUCUGCCCUGGACUCUCCAGAUCCCUGUGGCUGUUCUCGCUCUCAUGUCUCCAAUAAAAACCUUAACCAUAA